rnacentral:rRNA from 1 species
GGGCGCAAGCCUGAUCCAGCCAUGCCGCGUGCAGGAUGACGGUCCUAUGGAUUGUAAACUGCUUUUGUACAGGAAGAAACACUCCCUCGUGAGGGAGCUUGACGGUACUGUAAGAAUAAGGAUCGGCUAACUCCGUGCCAGCAGCCGCGGUAAUACGGAGGAUCCAAGCGUUAUCCGGAAUCAUUGGGUUUAAAGGGUCCGUAGGCGGYUUAAUAAGUCAGUGGUGAAAGCCCANCGCUCAACGGUGGAACGGCCAUUGAUACUGUUAGGCUUGAAUUAUUAGGAAGUAACUAGAAUAUGUAGUGUAGCGGUGAAAUGCUUAGAGAUUACAUGGAAUACCAAUUGCGAAGGCAGGUUACUACUAAUGGAUUGACGCUGAUGGACGAAAGCGUGGGUAGCGAACAGGAUUAGAUACCCUGGUAGUCCACGCCGUAAACGAUGGAUACUAGCUGUUGGGAGCAAUCUCAGUGGCUAAGCGAAAGUGAUAAGUAUCCCACCUGGGGAGUACGUUCGCAAGAAUGAAACUCAAAUGAA